rnacentral:lncRNA from 1 species
CGGAGGUUGCAGUGAGCUGAGAUUGUGCCAUUGCACUCCAGCCUGGGUGACAGAGCGAGACUCUAUUUCAAAAAAGAAAAAAGAAAAAAAGAAGAAGAAAAAGAGGAAGAAGAAGUAAUACACCAGUGUUGCCAGUGAGCAAGCGGGAGGGUGUUUGGCUACUGAAGUGCAGUGGAGCACAGCAAUGCGCAAAUCAAAGGAACUUGCUUCUUCAAGGUCUUCUAGCAGUGGUUCUGACAGUGAUGUUGACAAAAAGUUAAAGAGGAAAAAGCAGGUUGCUCCAGAAAGACCUGUAAAGAAGCAAAAGACUGGUGAAAAUUGAAGAGCUCUGUCAUCUUCCAAAGAGAACAGCAGCAACAGCACAGAUGAUAACCUGAUGUUUCAGGAAGCCAUUGAGGGUUAAAAACAGAAGAAUGACAAAAUUUGGUUGAUGAUUUAAAAGGAUCACCCUGGAUGCUGCUGUAUGGAGAGCUAGAAUGGAGGUAGGGAAACCAGAUAGGAAGCUAUUCUGGUAUUUCAGGAAAACACAAUUAUUGGCCUUUCAAGACUCCACGGAAGUGAAUCCCCAGAAAUUUGCAACUGACUGCUCCCACUCUGCCCCCUCUGCUUCUGAAGCAAAUCCUGUCAUAGCCCCUGUGGGGCUGUCCAACCCAACACCCCCUGUGUUCCUAUUGUGUGUGUUUUCUUGUCAGUGUCCUGCAGUGGAACAGAAGCUCCUCAAGGGCUCCAGUUGCCUCCAAUUCUCCUUUCUAUCCCUGGCUGGCAGGACAAGCCUUCAAACAAUAAAUAUCUGUCAAGGAGUUUUAUGGAUGGAUGACUGAAUGAAUGUAAAAAGGAU